GACGAACGCUGGCGGCGUGGAUUAGGCAUGCAAGUCGAACGAGGUCCACCGCGUAGCAAUACAAGGGAAGACCUAGUGGCGAACGGGUGCGUAACACGUGAGGAACUUGUCCCGGUCUCUGGGAUAACAGUUGGAAACGACUGCUAAUACCGGAUGACGUCGGAGCAUCGCAUGGUGCGCUGACGAAAGGGUUACUGGAUCGGGAGAGCCUCGCGGCCUAUCAGCUUGUUGGUGGGGUAACGGCCUACCAAGGCAUCGACGGGUAGCUGGUCUGAGAGGAUGAUCAGCCACACUGGGACUGAGACACGGCCCAGACUCCUACGGGAGGCAGCAGUGGGGAAUCUUGCGCAAUGGGCGAAAGCCUGACGCAGCAACGCCGCGUGCGGGAAGAAGGCCCUCGGGUUGUAAACCGCUUUCAGCAGGAACGAAAAUGACGGUACUUGCAGAAGAAGGUGCGGCCAACUACGUG
rnacentral:rRNA from 1 species